AAGACUGAGUUCAGGAUGACUGUUGGAAUGUAGCUACAUCUCUUCUCACCCGACUUCUGCCAGAGGUUCCGUCUUAAAGAUUCGUAAGCAGAUACUUAGUACGAACUCAAAUGUUAACCUACCGUUUCACAAGACCGGACGUAAAGAGACCUCAAGCAUUUCGUCUCUCGCGACGAAAACACUUGAUGAGCAUAUCACUAACAGAUAUUGAGAUACCAAAGAACCCCGACUCCUAAACCCAAAGAUUUUAUCGAGAAAACCAUUUGUUGACCUAGCUUCUACGUAUCUUCAUUUCCGGCCAGCAGCUCUUGUCCUAGAUGCACCUAUCUUGAUAUACAACGGCAACUUGAUAGACUUUUCAAUCUUUAUCAAAGCCAAAGCACGAUGUUCUACAGCUCCAUGUCCAUUGACCAGACGGCAAACCUAUAUGUGACUAAUUUCGGACAGCAGAUAAAAUCUCGCCGACACCUUUAUCAAUACCAGUACCACCUCCCUGUCCCUAAGAACAUGAGUAUGUAAGAUUGGAAACAUACGAAAGAACCUAUUUAAACUUAUGCUUCUUUUGAAAAUGUAUGAAGUGUAUACAGAAAACGAGAAUAACAAAUCUUGACAUCAAACAAGCAGCUUUCUUUUCCAGUCCAUCAGCACAAUAAACGAUGCAGUUCACCUUGUUAAACAGAACUUGAAGAGAUCGCGGUAAAUAAAAGCCCUCUAGUAUCACAGACCUACAAGGGUUGCAGUAGGAAAAACAGAUAAAAAGAUCACGAGCAUGAAGGAGGCCACCCUACUAGUCCAAGUCUCCAACCAAGAUCAGGGCACUAUUUGGACAUAGCUCGUUACAAGACUAGAAUUGACUACGAGAAGAGUGCCACAUGCCCUGCAAUCUGCAUGUGAUGAAGCCUCGAAGAAAUCGUAAGGCAAUGGUUGUCGUACACAGCUACCAUCCGUGCCGGAUACGAAGCAUACUCUUUGGUAGAGCAGAUGUAGUCCAAGACACGAUGUCAUCUAAUCCAGAGAAGGUCCUAGCGUACGCAAACUGCGACUCUAACCUCUGACUCGCCACAUCACAACAGCCCAGAGCACUUUGCAGUAGAUGGCAGUCAUCAUUGGCAGCUAAAUAUAAUAUCCGAUAGGAAUCUGGAUAUUUGCAACUGAAAUAUUAUGCAUCUUGCUGAUAU